CGUGGGUAAUCUACCCUUGGAUGGGGGAUAGCACUAGGAAACUAGUAGUAAUACCGCAUAUUAUCACUUUUUCAUAAGAGAUAGUGACUAAAGGCGCCCUCUGCAUAUGGUGUCGUCCGAGGAUGAGCCCGCGGGCUAUUAGCUAGUUGGUGAGGUAAUGGCUCACCAAGGCUACGACGGCUAGCCGGCCUGAGAGGGUGUACGGCCACAUUGGGACUGAGAUACGGCCCAG
rnacentral:rRNA from 1 species